UACGAAGGGGGCUAGCGUUGCUCGGAAUUACUGGGCGUAAAGCGCACGUAGGCGGCUCUUUAAGUCGGAGGUGAAAUCCUGGAGCUCAACUCCAGAACUGCCUUCGAUACUGUAGAGCUUGAGUUCGGGAGAGGUGAGUGGAACUGCGAGUGUAGAGGUGAAAUUCGUAGAUAUUCGCAAGAACACCAGUGGCGAAGGCGGCUCACUGGCCCGAUACUGACGCUGAGGUGCGAAAGCGUGGGGAGCGAACAGG
rnacentral:rRNA from 1 species